GUGGUAACACAUGUAGCUGACUGAUACUAAUCGGUCGAGGGCAUAACCAAG
rnacentral:rRNA from 1 species